GACGAACGCUGGCGGCGUGCUUAACACAUGCAAGUCGAACGGAAAGGCCCAGCUUGCUGGGUGCUCGAGUGGCCAACGGGUGAGUAACACGUGGGUGAUCUGCCCCUAACUUCGGGAUAAGCUUGGGAAACUGGGUCUAAUACCGGAUAGGACAAUCGUUUAGUGUCGGUUGUGGAAAGUUUUUUCGGUUAGGGAUGAGCCCGCGGCCUAUCAGCUUGUUGGUGGGGUAAUGGCCUACCAAGGCGUCGACGGGUAGCCGGCCUGAGAGGGUGGACGGCCACAUUGGGACUGAGAUACGGCCCAGACUCCUACGGGAGGCAGCAGUGGGGAAUAUUGCACAAUGGGCGCAAGCCUGAUGCAGCGACGCCGCGUGGGGGAUGACGGCCUUCGGGUUGUAAACCUCUUUCGACAGGGACGAAGCUUUGGUGACGGUACCUGUAUAAGAAGCACCGGCUAACUACGUG
rnacentral:rRNA from 1 species